AGUGGCCAGAUUAAAUAUGAAGACUUUCAUUUUGCUGAUGUGUCUCAUUGGAAUGAGCCUGGCUCUUUCAACUGAGGAAGAGCAUGAACCUUCUUCACUUACAGCACAUCACCGAGUUGCACGUUCCAGUUCCGAAUCCAGAGAGG